GUGUCAGCAGCCGCGGUAAUACGAAGGGGGCUAGCGUUGCUCGGAAUCACUGGGCGUAAAGGGCGCGUAGGCGGAUCUUUAAGUCGGGGGUGAAAGCCCAGGGCUCAACCCUGGAAUUGCCUUCGAUACUGAAGAUCUCGAGACCGGAAGAGGUAAGUGGAACUGCGAGUGUAGAGGUGAAAUUCGUAGAUAUUCGCAAGAACACCAGUGGCGAAGGCGGCUUACUGGUCCGGUUCUGACGCUGAGGCGCGAAAGCGUGGGGAGCAAACAGGAUUAGAAACCCCUGUAGUCC
rnacentral:rRNA from 1 species